rnacentral:lncRNA from 1 species
UGUUCUGAAAGCUUCAAAUGCGAACACGUGUCUCAACUGUACGGCUUUCUUUUGCAGCUGUGUCGACCACGAUGACCAUGAAUGGCGUGGGCUCAUGGGAAGUUUCCGUGCCAUCUGCUGGGAUGAGUAGAUCAAGAUCGGUUAAAUUCAAGGCCUCCUUCACAUGAACUUUGAGAGCAUGAUGACCAUGGGUUGUGUUUGUAGUGUUGGCACAAUGAGCUCUCACCAAAGACCUGGAACUCCCAAGGUACUUCUGUCGUUAGUAACUGGCAGUGACUUUUCUUUUGAGUUUUUAUUAAGAUUGCAAAAUAAAUGGCUCUCUUGUAUUUGCAGUUUCAAAUAGUUGCAUCCCCGAGUCAUCACCUUUUGCAUUGAUGUUUGUAUCGGAUUUUCAGUGAUCUAAAUAAAUGUGAUCCUUUUAAAUGAAAUUCUGCUUGGUC